rnacentral:rRNA from 1 species
GAUGAACGCUGGCGGCGUGCCUAACACAUGCAAGUCGAGCGAUCUUCUUCGGAAGAGAGCGGCGGACGGGUGAGUAACGCGUGGGUAACCUGCCCUGUACACACGGAUAACAUACCGAAAGGUAUGCUAAUACGGGAUAACAUAAGAAAGUCGCAUGGCUUUCUUAUCAAAGCUUUUGCGGUACAGGAUGGACCCGCGUCUGAUUAGCUAGUUGGUAAGGUAACGGCUUACCAAGGCGACGAUCAGUAGCCGACCUGAGAGGGUGAUCGGCCACAUUGGAACUGAGACACGGUCCAAACUCCUACGGGAGGCAGCAGUGGGGAAUAUUGCACAAUGGGCGAAAGCCUGAUGCAGCAACGCCGCGUGAGCGAUGAAGGCCUUCGGGUCGUAAAGCUCUGUCCUCAAGGAAGAUAAUGACGGUACUUGAGGAGGAAGCCCCGGCUAACUACGUGCCAGCAGCCGCGGUAAUACGUAGGGGGCUAGCGUUAUCCGGAAUUACUGGGCGUAAAGGGUGCGUAGGCGGUCUUUCAAGUCAGAAGUGAAAGGCUACGGCUCAACCGUAGUAAGCUUUUGAAACUGUAAGACUUGAGUGCAGGAGAGGAGAGUGGAAUUCCUAGUGUAGCGGUGAAAUGCGUAGAUAUUAGGAGGAACACCAGUUGCGAAGGCGGCUCUCUGGACUGUAACUGACGCUG